CCUCUCUCUCUCUCUUUCUCCAACACCCAAAUUUGAUUGGGCAUCUACUUCUCCAUGCCCAAAAUCUAGUUGGGCAUCCCCUCUUCCUUCCUCUCUUUUGUUGGUUGCUGAUCUACAUCAAAAAAGAUUCAAUGAAGGAAAAAAGGCUGAUCAAGGAGUUGAUCUAGAGAUCCAAAGGCUGAUCAAAAAUUGAUCAAUUAUGUGUGAAGAAUCAAGAGGAUCAAUUCAUCUUAUUUUCGUGUGGAUAUCCGUAGAGGUCGGACGUUUAUGCGGCUAAAGUUGAACCUAUUCUUCUUCUAGAUCUAAGGUUGAAGAAAGAAAAAAU
rnacentral:lncRNA from 1 species